rnacentral:rRNA from 1 species
UGGGGGAAUUUUGGACAAUGGGCGAAAGCCUGAUCCAGCAAUGCCGCGUGUGUGAAGAAGGCCUUCGGGUUGUAAAGCACUUUUGUCCGGAAAGAAAUCCUUGGGCUCUAAUACAGUCGGGGGGAUGACGGUACCGGAAGAAUAAGCACCGGCUAACUACGUGCCAGCAGCCGCGGUAAUACGUAGGGUGCAAGCGUUAAUCGGAAUUACUGGGCGUAAAGCGUGCGCAGGCGGUUUGCUAAGACCGAUGUGAAAUCCCCGGGCUCAACCUGGGAACUGCAUUGGUGACUGGCAGGCUAGAGUAUGGCAGAGGGGGGUAGAAUUCCACGUGUAGCAGUGAAAUGCGUAGAGAUGUGGAGGAAUACCGAUGGCGAAGGGCAGCCCCCUGGGGCCAAUACUGACGCUCAUGCACGAAAGCGUGGGGAGCAAACAGGAUUAGAUACCCUGGUAGUCCACGCCCUAAACGAUGUCAACUAGUUGUUGGGGAUUCAUUCCUUAGUAACGUAGCUAACGCGUGAAGUUGACCGCCUGGGGAGUACGGUCGCAAGAUUAAAACUU